UCUCGCAUCUGAGGGUGGUGACAACGAGAACAAUUCUCCGGUUGCGUCGGUUAGGCUUUUAGGGUUAAAUCCGGUGUCUUAGAUUUGCCUUUGGCAGGAUUAACGAAAUUCAUUGCCAUCUCCGACUCGAAUCUGAGAGAACCAAAGAAGAAGACGAAGAAGAAGAAUGGUCUGUCGAAGUUGAAGAUGAAGAUGGUAGGCGACAGAUCCGGUUGAGGACUGUUCUCUUUGUAGCUGGCAAGUAACAAGCUUCAUCGAACGUGAGCAGAUCUCAUUGUGGCGGCGAGUAGGAAGCUUCAUCCGACGGGAAGAUCGAACGGCCGUCGCCGUGCCGUUAUUUUGUCACCGUAACCACUUGUGUAAACUGAAAACCCUAAUUUGUUAAUGGGCUCUGGGCUUUUUGUUUGUAAAAUUGUUAGUUAGGCUUAUUAAUGGGUUUUGUAUUAUAUAUUUGUAAUCCAUUUUUUAUUUUUGGUCUAA